rnacentral:tRNA from 11 species
CGUGGCCUAAUGGUUAAAACACCAGGCUGAUAACCUGAUG